UGGGUUGUAGCUCAGUGGUAGAGUGCUUGCCUAGCAUGUGUGAGGUACUGGGUUCAAUCCUCAGCACCACAU
rnacentral:tRNA from 1 species